rnacentral:rRNA from 1 species
UACGAAGGGGGCUAGCGUUGCUCGGAAUCACUGGGCGUAAAGGGUGCGUAGGCGGGUCUUUAAGUCAGGGGUGAAAUCCUGGAGCUCAACUCCAGAACUGCCUUUGAUACUGAAGAUCUUGAGUUCGGGAGAGGUGAGUGGAACUGCGAGUGUAGAGGUGAAAUUCGUAGAUAUUCGCAAGAACACCAGUGGCGAAGGCGGCUCACUGGCCCGAUAUUGACGCUGAGGAGCGAAAGCGUGGGGAGCGAACAGG